CUAGGGAGUNNNNNAGGUACACGGUACUCGAUAGGAAGGGGUAAAAUCCUUUGAUCUAUUGAUGACCACCUGUGGCGAAGGCGGUGUACCAGAACACGUUCGACGGUGAGGGAUGAAAGCUGGGGGAGCAAACCGGAUUAGAUACCCGGGUAGUCCCAGCUGUAAACGAUGCAGACUCGGUGAUGCAUUGGCUUGUGGCCAAUGCAGUGCCGCAGGGAAGCCGUUAAGUCUGCCGCCUGGGAAGUACGUACGCAAGUAUGAAACUUAAAGGAAUUGGCGGGGGAGCACCACAAGGGGUGAAGCCUGCGGUUCAAUUGGAGUCAACGCCAGAAAUCUUACCUGGGGAGACAGCAGAAUGAAGGUCAAGCUGAAGACUUUACCAGA
rnacentral:rRNA from 1 species